rnacentral:rRNA from 1 species
UACAGAGGUCUCAAGCGUUGUUCGGAUUCAUUGGGCGUAAAGGGUGCGUAGGUGGCGCUGUAAGUCGGGUGUGAAAUUUCGGAGCUUAACUCCGAAACUGCAUUCGAUACUGCGGUGCUUGAGGACUGGAGAGGAGACUGGAAUUCAUGGUGUAGCAGUGAAAUGCGUAGAGAUCAUGAGGAAGACCAGUGGCGAAGGCGGGUCUCUGGACAGUUCCUGACACUGAGGCACGAAGGCCAGGGAGCAAACGG